rnacentral:rRNA from 1 species
GAUGAACGCUGGCGGCGUGCCUAAUACAUGCAAGUCGAGCGAACGGACGAGAAGCUUGCUUCUCUGAUGUUAGCGGCGGACGGGUGAGUAACACGUGGAUAACCUACCUAUAAGACUGGGAUAACUUCGGGAAACCGUAGCUAAUACCGGAUAAUAUUUUGAACCGCAUGGUUCAAAAGUGAAAGACGGUCUUGCUGUCACUUAUAGAUGGAUCCGCGCUGCAUUAGCUAGUUGGUAAGGUAACGGCUUACCAAGGCAACGAUGCAUAGCCGACCUGAGAGAGUGAUAGGCCACACGGGAAGGGAGACACGGUCCAGACGCCUAAGGGAGGCAGCAGUAGGGAAUCGGCCGCAAUGGGCGAAAGCCUGACGGAGCAACGCCGCGUGAGUGAUGAAGGUCUUCGGAGCGUAAAACUCUGUUAUUAGGGAAGAACAUAUGUGUAAGUAACUGUGCACAUCUUGACGGUACCUAAUCAGAAAGCCACGGCUAACUACGUG